UCACUCUGCAUAGAGCAGAGCAGAGUCAGGGUGGAGAAGGACAGGUGUCGGGGACGGUAGCUUAACCUUGCCUAAAAUGUUGCCUUCAUUGUCUUCCUCAUGCUCACUCUACCUCAUGCUUUGUUUUGGCUCUAUAUCCCGUAAUUGAGCUUCAACUGACCGAAGAGGCACAAGGAAGGGAUAAGGCCGUGGCAGCAGAAAUCUGGGAACCUAAGGAUAAUACUACAUCUGAUUCUCACUGAUCUAUUUGCCGAGUCCCUGCACUGCAGCUGUUGAAUUUCCAGACACAAACAAGUAAGCCUGGCCUCCCACUCCCUAACGAGUCAGCAGACAGGGAAAAAGUGGCC